GAAAAACUUCCGGUGGUAUAAGAUGGACCCGCGUUUGAUUAGCCAGUUGGCAGGGUAACGGCCUACCAAAGCGACGAUCAGUAGCCGGCCUGAGAGGGUGAACGGCCACAUUGGGACUGAGACACGGCCCAAACUCCUACGGGAGGCAGCAGUAGGGAAUAUUGCACAAUGGGGGAAACCCUGAUGCAGCGACGCCGCGUGAGUGAAGAAGUAUUUCGGUAUGUAAAGCUUUAUCAGCAGGGAAGAAGAAAUGACGGUACCUGACUAAGAAGCCCCGGCUAACUACGUGCCAGCAGCCGCGGUAAUACGUAGGGGGCAAGCGUUAUCCGGAUUUACUGGGUGUAAAGGGAGCGUAGACGGUGAAGCAAGUCUGAAGUGAAAGGUUGGGGCUCAACCCCGAAACUGCUUUGGAAACUGUUUGACUGGAGUACAGGAGAGGUAAGUGGAAUUCCUAGUGUAGCGGUGAAAUGCGUAGAUAUUAGGAGGAACACCAGUGGCGAAGGCGGCUUACUGGACCGUAACUGACGUUGAGGCUCGAAAGCGUGGGGAGCAAACAGGAUUAGAUACCCUGGUAGUCCACGCCGUAAACGAUGAUUACUAGGUGUUGGUGGAUAUGGAUCCAUCGGUGCCGCAGCAAACGCAAUAAGUAAUCCACCUGGGGAGUA
rnacentral:rRNA from 1 species